UUGUGCACAUAGCAGAGGUAUGAGAGGAUCCAUCUACAGAGACCAGGCAGGUUAGCAUCCUGGCUCUCUGGACCUUGCUCUUCCUUCUUGACUUUCAGGGCUUGCUAGAGCUUCACCCACUGCAGAAUUCCAGGUGCAGAGACGCCACACCAAUACUGAAGGGCUGUUAAAAUACCCUCCUAUCCACAGGGCCUCGCUGAGAAUCAGGAGACACAGGAAGAGACAGUUCAGUGAUGGCCGGGAUCAGCCCCAUCCCUGAGUCUGUAAGGGAUGCUGCCUCAUUAUGAUCCAGCCAUUUCACUGGCCACCCGCUUGACCAUCCUUAAAGCCCCAAGGCAGACUGAGGCUGGUUCCCCAAGAAAGAGCAGUGCAGCCUGGGGGUAUUAGCUGCUCUGGAGGCACCCGAGAGUUCAAGCCGAACGAGCCUUUUAAACAACAGCAUCAUCUGCUGCUUCCCCUUCAGUGUUCCAGACAGAUAAAGAUAAAAUAGCUGAGGUAAUUGUGGAGAUGGAGUGUCGCUGGCAAAUGAUCUGAGCACAAAGACCAUUUCCAGAGACAGAUGGAGUGGAGGCUCUGGUAAUUUUUCUUGAAUCAUGUUUAAAGUGGCACAGUCUGAAAACCAAUUCAACACAAGUGCUGCUCCGAGGUCCGGGUCCACCUGAACUUGGAAAAUAUUAAAGCCCAGCGGAGCUUCACAGUGACCAAGGAAGGGUGAGAUUCCCCCAAAUAACCACAUGUGAGUGGUUUGGAAAGAGGAGCAUGAUGGUCACACCUGGGGAAUUCCACCCAGGCAGCGACCUUACCCAUUGCUGCUGCGUGACAAAGCUGUCAUCUGGACUUGGCCUAACAGCAGGGGAUGGGAUGGCACAGGUGUGGGUGGGAUCUGGUGACCCCCCUGGGGCCUUUCUUGUUCCUAGUUCAGCCUGCUGAGAGGCAUCCAGACAAUGGAUUUUAGGAACCUGGCACUUUGGAGUUUGAAUGUGCUGGCAGCUUCCGUGGGCCCAGCGCCAGGGAGAAAGCAGUUGGGGACUUCCCUCAACUCUCUCUCAACCUGCUAAUGAAGGAAGUAAUGGGCUCUGAAGGUAAAAUGACAGCAUCUUAUGCUGCCACUGAAAACCGUGUUGUAGAAAAACCAUCUGAUGACUUGGGGGACGGAUCAUGAUCUAUAGCCAAAAGAAAAAAAGACUACAGAACAGCAUGCGGUGAGCUCUCAGUGUUUAUUCGAAAUGACAAACACACACAUAUGCAAAGAAAUAAUGACUAAAAAGACAGAUCAAAUAUUUAUCUUUAGGUUUUUAUGCUUGUCUAUAUUUUCCAUAAUGGGUUUAUAUUUUGUUAGGAGACAAAGAUGUAUUAAAACCAUAUCUUGUAUUUGCAUAGUAUUCAUGGUUGUUUUUUCCAUACAUACUUUCAACUGAUGCUCACGAAAGUUCUAUGAAUUAGGUAGAGCAGUUAUUCCCGUUUUACAGAUGAGGGAGUUGAGGCUCAGAGCAAGUCAGGUACUUGAAGAAUGCGUUGUUUAGCUUUUAAGACACUGAGCUGGGGUGGGAACCUAAAUCCUGUGUGUUCCCGUUUAGUCCUCUGAGCAUGCGGGGUAUCGAGACAAGCUAAUCAACAGGACCUGCCACUCGGCAAUUGUGGUCCGAAGUCAUGUUCUGGAUCAUCUCCUUUUAUGAUUACUCAUCUGCUGUUCACCUCUUAUUGGAUUCUUGUCUGUUCCCUGCACUAGACUAAAUUCC
rnacentral:lncRNA from 1 species